rnacentral:rRNA from 1 species
GGCANCGGACUACCAUGCAGUCGAACGGUAGCACAGAGAGCUUGCUCUCGGGUGACGAGUGGCGGACGGGUGAGUAAUGUCUGGGAAACUGCCUGAUGGAGGGGGAUAACUACUGGAAACGGUAGCUAAUACCGCAUAACGUCGCAAGACCAAAGAGGGGGACCUUCGGGCCUCUUGCCAUCAGAUGUGCCCAGAUGGGAUUAGCUAGUAGGUGGGGUAAUGGCUCACCUAGGCGACGAUCCCUAGCUGGUCUGAGAGGAUGACCAGCCACACUGGAACUGAGACACGGUCCAGACUCCUACGGGAGGCAGCAGUGGGGAAUAUUGCACAAUGGGCGCAAGCCUGAUGCAGCCAUGCCGCGUGUAUGAAGAAGGCCUUCGGGUUGUAAAGUACUUUCAGCGGGGAGGAAGGUGUUGUGGUUAAUAACCGCAGCAAUUGACGUUACCCGCAGAAGAAGCACCGGCUAACUCCGUGCCAGCAGCCGCGGUAAUACGGAGGGUGCAAGCGUUAAUCGGAAUUACUGGGCGUAAAGCGCACGCAGGCGGUCUGUCAAGUCGGAUGUGAAAUCCCCGGGCUCAACCUGGGAACUGCAUUCGAAACUGGCAGGCUAGAGUCUUGUAGAGGGGGGUAGAAUUCCAGGUGUAGCGGUGAAAUGCGUAGAGAUCUGGAGGAAUACCGGUGGCGAAGGCGGCCCCCUGGACAAAGACUGACGCUCAGGUGCGAAAGCGUGGGGGAGCAAACAGGAUUAGAUACCCUGGUAGUCCACGCCGUAAACGAUGUCGACUUGGAGGUUGUGCCCUUGAGGCGUGGCUUCCGGAGCUAACGCGUUAAGUCGACCGCCUGGGGAGUACGGCCGCAAGGUUAAAACUCAAAUGAAUUGACGGGGGCCCGCACAAGCGGUGGAGCAUGUGGUUUAAUUCGAUGCAACGCGAAGAACCUUACCUACUCUUGACAUCCAGAGAACUUUCCAGAGAUGGAUUGGUGCCUUCGGGAACUCUGAGACAGGUGCUGCAUGGCUGUCGUCAGCUCGUGUUGUGAAAUGUUGGGUUAAGUCCCGCAACGAGCGCAACCCUUAUCCUUUGUUGCCAGCGGUNCGGCCGGGAACUCAAAGGAGACUGCCAGUGAUAAACUGGAGGAAGGUGGGGAUGACGUCAAGUCAUCAUGGCCCUUACGAGUAGGGCUACACACGUGCUACAAUGGCGCAUACAAAGAGAAGCGACCUCGCGAGAGCAAGCGGACCUCAUAAAGUGCGUCGUAGUCCGGAUUGGAGUCUGCAACUCGACUCCAUGAAGUCGGAAUCGCUAGUAAUCGUAGAUCAGAAUG